UACGUAGGGUGCGAGCGUUGUCCGGAAUUAUUGGGCGUAAAGGGCUCGUAGGCGGUCUGUCGCGUCGGGAGUGAAAACCCGGGGCUCAACCCCGGGCCUGCAUUCGAUACGGGCAGGCUAGAGUUCGGCAGGGGAGACUGGAAUUCCUGGUGUAGCGGUGAAAUGCGCAGAUAUCAGGAGGAACACCGGUGGCGAAGGCGGGUCUCUGGGCCGAUACUGACGCUGAGGAGCGAAAGCGUGGGGAGCGAACAGG
rnacentral:rRNA from 1 species